UAUAUUUAAAGCGCCAGAACUUCGAAAGAAGUUGACGAGGUUGGGGAGUUAUCGAAACUUCGGCGGGUGCCCCACGGUAUUAAGCACUACCGUUAACGGCUGGCAAACCUUUAAAGUGAUUUAAAGAACAAAUCCA
rnacentral:ncRNA from 1 species